rnacentral:tRNA from 1 species
GCCCGGGUGGUGAAACUGGUAGACACAAGGGACUUAAAAUCCCUGGACCGCGAGGUCAUGCGGGUUCGACCCCCGCCCUGGGCACCA